UACGAGGGGGGCAAGCGUUGUUCGGAAUUAUUGGGCGUAAAGCGCUCGUAGGCGGGACAGGAAGUCCGUGAAGAAAGACCUGGGCUCAACUCAGGGAACGGCACGGAUACUCUUGUUCUUGAGGCAAUCAGAGGGUGAUGGAAUUCCCGGUGUAGCGGUGAAAUGCGUAGAUAUCGUGAGGAAGACCAGUGGCGAAGGCGAAUCUCUGGACAGUAACUGACGCUGAGGCACGAAGGCUAGGGGAGCAAACGGG
rnacentral:rRNA from 1 species